rnacentral:rRNA from 1 species
GAUGAACGCUAGCGGCAGGCCUAACACAUGCAAGUCGAGGGGCAUCAUGGCGUAGCAAUACGCUGAUGGCGACCGGCGCACGGGUGCGUAACGCGUAUGGAACCUACCCACCGCAGGGGGAUAACCCGCCGAAAGGCGGACUAAUACCCCAUGGUUCCCCGACCCUGCCUGGGGUUGGGGGUAAAGCCUACGGGCGGCGGUGGAUGGCCCUGCGUGCCAUUAGCUGGCUGGUGGGUAACGCCCACAGGGCAACGAUGGCUAGGGGGUCUGAGAGGAUGGUCCCCCACACUGGUACUGAGACACGGACCAGACUCCUACGGGAGGCAGCAGUGGGGAAUAUUGCACAAUGGGCGAAAGCCUGAUGCAGCGACGCCGCGUGAGGGAAGACGGUCUUCGGAUUGUAAACCUCUGUCUUCGGUGACGACCAAAGACGGUAGCCGAGGAGGAAGCCACGGCUAACUACGUGCCAGCAGCCGCGGUAAACCGAGAGUA